rnacentral:lncRNA from 1 species
UCAAUUAUUAGCUAUAUUCACCAUACUAUGUAAUUGACCUCAAAAGAUGUUUUUUAAACCAUCCUUAUUCCUUCUACCUGAGGUUUUUACCCUUUGACUAUCAUCUCCCCUAUUUCCCCCACACUCCUAGCCUCUGGUAACUACCUUUGUACUCCUUGGUUCCAUCAGUUCAAGAAUUUUAGAUGCCAAAUUUAAAUGAGAACAUGUGGUAUUUGUCUGUCUUUGGAGAAGGCUAUAAGGUCAAAAGUGAAAUAUAUUAUUUUUCAGAUGAAACACUGUAAUGUGUGUACUGAUUAUAAUUAGCCUUCCAAAUAAGGAUACUGUUCAAGACCAGCCUGGCCAACACGGUAAAACCCUGUCUCUACAAAAA